GAUCUGGUGGUGUAGUGGUAACACGCCUGCUUUACGUUUUCACGAUGUUCAAUAGCACUUUGUGGAGGACUCCCUUGUUCGAAUCAAGGCCAGGCCA